UGUCAUGUUCUGUGCCAUUCCAGAGGACUAGAUGGAUGUAUAAUGUCACCAGUUGCAAGACUUGGGGACUACUCUUUCCUUCUCUUCUGCAAGCCUACUCCCUACCCCCUCCAUUCCCAGGAAUCGAGUCUCAAAGAGCUCAGAAGAUGAGAAGCCAUAGGUGGAGCCCAGAUAGACCUGAUCUCCUGCUUGAUGAUCUCAUAUGAGAAGUAAGAUCAUGGUGCCUGUCCUGGGCAUAGACUGCACUUGGGUCUGUAGGAGGCAGCAGGCUCCCAAAUCAAGAGAGCCACCAUGGCCAUUCCUGGACAACAAAAGAGCCAGCUGAUGCUCAUAGGACCUUCUGGACAGAGCCACUCACAUCCUUGCUCUUGACUGCCUGAGCUGGAGACCUGGAAUCCUCUGGUUCUGAACAUCACAGUGAGGCACGUAGGCAUGUGCCUGAGUCUCUGGGGAAGCACACUCUGUCAGCGUGUUGAUGUUAGCUACUGCAUACACGUGGAUGGAUGUGGGCCACUGUUUGGAUCAGUCUAAGGGUUUGAUUGCUAACUAUAGAGUCUCGUGGAGGGUGCUGUAGGUGGACCUUGAAUUAAGAUCCUGGCAGUAAGAAUUCUUAGUCUCUAAGUCUUCAGUGAUGUUUUCCUAAGUAAGUACAGGAUGGGACUGUUUUUGGCCUCAUUUGCAGCACCAACAUGCAUUAUAUGUGGGGAUCCACCCCAUGCCCUGUUUUCAACUGUGUGCUCCCAUCAGGUUCCACAUGAAUGUGCACAUGCAACAGACACACACACUGACAUAGGCACAGACACACACACACACACAUACACACACACACACACACACUGACAUAGGCACAGACACACACACACACAUACUGACAUAGACACAGACAAACAUACACACACAUACUGACAUAGACACAGACAAACACACACACAUACUGAUGUAGACACAGACAAACACACACACAUACACAUACAUGUACAUAUAUAUGUGUGUGUGCGUGUGUGUACACAUGUGCAGAUACACACAUACACAUACAUGCACACACUUUACACACACCAGUACACACACUCACACAUGCUCACACAAGUAUUCAUACAUGCUUAUACAAGUAUACACAUGUGUUCACACACAAAAACACACGCACAUGCACACUGACACACACAUAAAUACACAUAUCACAUACACACAUGUGCACACACAUAUGCAUACAUGCACACACAGAGUACAUGCACAAGUACACACACACACACACACACACACGUCUCCUCAGGUUCUGUUUGCUGUCACUUUCUACUAAGUGGUUCUGACUUUUUUUCCUUUUAAAACUUGCAGUCUGGUCUUGGAGACAGGAACUCCCCAGCACAUAUGACAAGUGUCAGUGAGUGAACAGACACUGCAGCAGCACUCAUCAUUGGGUGUGAGCACCGGUUGUCACCUCCAGCACUGUGAUCCUUGGCAAGCUGUAUGGCCUCCAGGGCCUCUGCGUCCUGCUUUGUCAAUUGGAGAUGGUGCUGGGCCAAUUCUGCCUCCUUUCUGGGUAGUUUUGAGGAUUAAAUGGGCUGGAGAUUUUGCAAGAACUUCAUGGACCGCAAUGUUCAAGGGAUGAUUGAAUCCAGAUCUUGAAGGCCUUCCUCAGUGAAAGACAGUGGAACUUUGGGGGACACUGCUAUUAAGGUAGCAGUCCCCCAUGAGCUUUCUGAACUGGAUGCAUAAUUGGGGACUCUCUUUCUCCGUGGGGCUUCCCUAUUUUGACUGCCUUUGUCUGGAGAGUGUCUCUGAACACAGGUCUCUGGCCUUGUCCAAAAGUCACCGUAUACAGAGCUCUCUCAAGUGGCAUAGCUCGGCACACUCUGGCUUCUUACCCACAUGAUCAUUAGGCACUGCACAACAACCAAUCAACCCUUCCUGCUUGCUUGAUGCUGUAACCAAUUAGCCCUUUCUGUGUGGACCCCUAAAAACGCCCAUAUAUAUCCUAACCCUGAAACAAUAAAGAAGACUUGUCUCACUGCA